UUUAUGUUGAAGGCGUCAUCAGCAAAAAGCAAGUGGAAAUAAUGUGUGAAAUGGGAGGACGAUAACGGAAGCAAAUUUGGUGCAGUUCCUUAUGGAGACGGAUAGCAUGCUACACUAAAAUGUAUUGUUGUGGAAA
rnacentral:lncRNA from 1 species